rnacentral:miRNA from 1 species
CGAUCUUUGAAGCUGAACUCA